rnacentral:lncRNA from 1 species
GGCAAGCCCUUCUACAUCUGGAAAUUGCCACCAAAUCUAAGUACAGAAUCCAUCCUCUAUUCUCUGAAGAUUAUGGAACUACAUCGAAUUUUAAAAUUAGAAUUUGGAUAUUUAAACUAUACUGACCUGUUGUUUUAGAUGAAAUUGGCUAACACAGUCGACCAAAAGAUUCCAACCAUAAUCAAUAGAGAUACAUGCAUUCCACAAUCAGAAACCCAAAUAAGUCCGAUGCAUACUAAGUAUAGAGGAAAACAAACAUUUGAGACAGAAAGAAAGGAAAGAGAGAAAGUUUACCUUUGUUUCCGGUGAAGAGCUUUUAAUAGUCUCUCCUUCCUGACUUGCACUCUUCUCCCUCAUGCCUUACUAUCUAACCCCAAGUUUCAUAUCAGAUUUAAAGAGCAUCAAGAACAAAAUGGAUUGGAGUAUAUUUUUGAGAAACUGAAGAGACGGGAAACAAACAAAGGAAUAAUAUAUGGCUGAGUAAGAAAUGAAGAUGUGUUGGCUGCAAAAAUAAAAGCUGCCGCAGGGAACAAUAUCAACUAAGUAAUUGAAAUGACUAAAUUACCCUCAGGUUUGAAUUAAAUUCCACGAAGCACACACGUCGAAACCUAGCUCUUUAACAGAGAUACAUGCAUUCCACAAUCAGAAACCCAAAUAAGCCUACUACAUAGUCCUGACUAAAUAUAGAGGAAAGCAAACACUCGAAACGGAAAGAAAGGAAAGAGAGAAAGUUUACCUUUGUUUCUGGUGAAUAGCUUUAAAUAGUCUCUCCUUCCUGACGUGCACUCUUCUCCCUUGUGCUUUACUAUCUAACCCCAAGUUUCAUAUCAGAUUUAAAGAGCAUCAAGAACAAAAUGAAUUGGAGUAUAUCUUUGAAAAACUGAAGAGACGGGAAACAAACAAAGGAAUAAUAUACGACUGAGUAAGAAAUGAAGAU